rnacentral:rRNA from 1 species
UGGGGAAUCUUAGACAAUGGGGGCAACCCUGAUCUAGCCAUGCCGCGUGAGUGACGAAGGUCUUAGGAUCGUAAAGCUCUUUCGCCGGGGAUGAUAAUGACAGUACCCGGUAAAGAAACCCCGGCUAACUCCGUGCCAGCAGCCGCGGUAAUACGGAGGGGGUUAGCGUUGUUCGGAAUUACUGGGCGUAAAGCGCGCGUAGGCGGACUAUUAAGUCAGGGGUGAAAUCCCGGGGCUCAACCCCGGAACUGCCCAUGAUACUGGUAGUCUUGAGUUCGAGAGAGGUGAGUGGAAUUCCGAGUGUAGAGGUGAAAUUCGUAGAUAUUCGGAGGAACACCAGUGGCGAAGGCGGCUCACUGGCUCGAUACUGACGCUGAGGUGCGAAAGUGUGGGGAGCAAACAGGAUUAGAUACCCCCGUAGUCC